rnacentral:tRNA from 1 species
UUCCUGGUGGCUCAGAUGGUAAAGAAUCUGCCUGCAGUGCAGGAGACCUGGGUUCAAUCCCUAGGUUGGAAA